rnacentral:rRNA from 1 species
AGAGUUUGAUCAUGGCUCAGAACGAACGCUGGCGGCGUGGAUAAGACAUGCAAGUCGAACGCUGAUUUCAAGGUAGCAAUAUUUUGGAGUCGGAGUGGCGCAAGGGUGCGUAACACGUGGGUAAUCUGCCGCGAAGCUCGGAAUAACUCGCUGAAAGGCGAGCUAAUACCGGAUGUGGUUGACGGGGGGCAUCUCCCGGCACCUAAAGUUGGGGACCGCAAGGCCUGAUACUUCGCGAUGAGCCCGCGGCCUAUCAGCUAGUUGGUGAGGUAACGGCUCACCAAGGCUAAGACGGGUAGCUGGUCUGAGAGGACGACCAGCCUCACUGGAACUGAGACACGGUCCAGACACCUACGGGUGGCAGCAGUCGAGAAUUUUUCACAAUGGGCGAAAGCCUGAUGGAGCGACGCCGCGUGGGGGAUGAAUGGCUUCGGCCCGUAAACCCCUGUCAUUUGCGAACAAACCUUGUCCGUGAACAACGGGCAAGCUGAUUGUAGCGAAAGAGGAAGGGACGGCUAACUCUGUGCCAGCAGCCGCGGUAAUACAGAGGUCCCAAGCGUUGUUCGGAUUCACUGGGCGUAAAGGGUGCGUAGGUGGCCGGGUAAGUUCGAUGUGAAAGCUCUGAGCUCAACUCAGAAAUGGCAUUGAAUACUAUCCGGCUGGAGGGUUGGAGGGGGGACUGGAAUUCUCGGUGUAGCAGUGAAAUGCGUAGAUAUCGAGAGGAACACCAGUGGCGAAGGCGAGUCCCUGGACGACUCCUGACACUGAGGCACGAAAGCUAGGGGAGCAAACAGGAUUAGAUACCCUAGUAGUCC